GGCAACCCUGACGGAGCAACGCCGCGUGGGGGAGGAAGGUCUGUGGAUUGUAAACCCCUUUUCUCUGUGAAGAAGAUCUGACGGUAGCAGAGGAAUCAGCAUCGGCUAACUCCGUGCCAGCAGCCGCGGUAAGACGGAGGAUGCAAGCGUUAUCCGGAAUUAUUGGGCGUAAAGCGUCCGUAGGCGGUUCAUCAAGUCUGCCGUUAAAGACUGCAGCUCAACUGUGGGCCGGCGGUGGAAACUGAUGAACUUGAGUAUGGUAGGGGUAGAGGGAAUUCCCAGUGUAGCGGUGAAAUGCGUAGAUAUUGGGAAGAACACCAGUGGCGAAGGCGCUCUGCUGGGCCAUAACUGACGCUGAGGGACGAAAGCUAGGGGAGCG
rnacentral:rRNA from 1 species